rnacentral:rRNA from 1 species
UUAAGCAUUGUCGGGCGCGGUUAGUACUUGGAUGGGGGACCGCUUGGGAACACCGCGUGUUGUUGGCG